UGGGGAAUUUUGGACAAUGGGCGCAAGCCUGAUCCAGCCAUACCGCGUGAGUGAAGAAGGCCUUCGGGUUGUAAAGCUCUUUCAGACGGAAAGAAACGGUUACGGCUAAUACCCGUGACUAAUGACGGUACCGUAAGAAGAAGCACCGGCUAACUACGUGCCAGCAGCCGCGGUAAUACGUAGGGUGCGAGCGUUAAUCGGAAUUACUGGGCGUAAAGCGUGCGCAGGCGGUUUGGUAAGACAGAUGUGAAAUCCCCGGGCUUAACCUGGGAACUGCAUUUGUGACUGCCAGACUAGGGUGUAGCAGAGGGGGGUAGAAUUCCACGUGUAGCAGUGAAAUGCGUAGAUAUGUGGAGGAAUACCGAUGGCGAAGGCAGCCCCCUGGGUUAACACUGACGCUCAUGCACGAAAGCGUGGGGAGCAAACAGGAUUAGAUACCCACGUAGUCCCUGAGCGGGCUGGCAAGGCGCAU
rnacentral:rRNA from 1 species